rnacentral:rRNA from 1 species
UUCCAGACUCCUACGGGAGGCAGCAGUGGGGAAUAUUGCACAAUGGGGGAAACCCUGAUGCAGCGACGCCGCGUGAGCGAUGAAGUAUUUCGGUAUGUAAAGCUCUAUCAGCAGGGAAGAAAAUGACGGUACCUGACUAAGAAGCCCCGGCUAACUACGUGCCAGCAGCCGCGGUAAUACGUAGGGGGCAAGCGUUAUCCGGAUUUACUGGGUGUAAAGGGAGCGUAGACGGCUGUGCAAGCCAGAUGUGAAAGCCCGGGGCUCAACCCCGGGACUGCAUUUGGAACUGUGUGGCUGGAGUGUCGGAGAGGCAGGCGGAAUUCCUAGUGUAGCGGUGAAAUGCGUAGAUAUUAGGAGGAACACCAGUGGCGAAGGCGGCUUUCUGGACUGUAACUGACACUGAGGUACGAAAGCGUGGGGAGCAAACAGGAUUAGAUACCCGCGUAUG